rnacentral:lncRNA from 1 species
CACACAUGACAUAUUCCUCUGAUUAUGUUCCUCUUGUGAUUGGCUUGUGUUCCGCCAUGGAAUCACAUGUAUCCUCAAAUGGAUCAAAACCAAACCUAUGUUUGGGAGCAGUUAGGACCGGACGAACUCAUUCCUCAAAGACCAAAAGCGCAAAGUUGCCAAUAUUCGCAUUGGCUUAUUAUCUUUUGUCAACAUUCACAUGAAAAGAAGGGGCGUGAAUGGUGCCAUUUUACUAAUAUCAUAUGCUCCUCGAAUUACGCUAAGCAAACGGCGCCC